rnacentral:rRNA from 1 species
UACGUAGGGUGCGAGCGUUGUCCGGAAUUAUUGGCGUAAAGAGCUCGUAGGCGGUGUGUCGCGUCGGCCGUGAAACCUGCAGCUUAACUGUGGGCUUGCGGUCGAUACGGGCAUCACUGGAGUUCGGCAGGGGAGACUGGAAUUCCUGGUGUAGCGGUGAAAUGCGCAGAUAUCAGGAGGAACACCCGUGGCGAAAGCGGCUCUCUGGGACGGUACUGACGCUGAGACGCGAAAGCGUGGGAGCAAACAGG